rnacentral:rRNA from 1 species
CAGCAAUUUGGAGGAUAUAAAUGAAAAUGUUGAAAAAUUAAACUAUUUUAAAUAUAAUUCUAGAUAAAUUAUUGAUAAUGACAACUUUUUAUCUAUAAGUCUUGACCAAGUUUUGUGCCAGCAGUCGCGGCAAUACAAUGAAGACAAGUGUUAUUCAUCUUUAAUCGGUUUAAAGGGUACCUAGACGGUAAAAUAGACCCUUUCUUUUAAGAGUUAGGGAGUGUUUUUACUAGAGUUAUAUGUGCAAGAGGACUAUUGUCAGUAUUACCAGAGUAGAGAUGAAAUUUUUUGAUACUGUUAAGACUGGUAAAUGCGAAAGCAAACCUUUAUAUAUUAACUGACGUUGAGGGACGAAGGCUUGGGGAGCAAACAGGAUUAGAUACCCUAAUAGUCCAGGCAGAGAAUCAUGAAUGUCAUAGAUUAUGUACAAAAU